UACAGGGGGUGCAAACGUUGCUCGGAAUCAUUGGGCGUAAAGCGCACGUAGGCGGUUCGUUAUGUCGGAUGUGAAAGCCCUUGGCUUAACCGAGGAAGUGCAUCCGAAACUGGCGAGCUAGAGUACUAAAGAGGAUCGCGGAAUUCCCGGUGUAGAGGUGAAAUUCGUAGAUAUCGGGAGGAACACCGGUGGCGAAGGCGGCGAUCUGAGUAGAUACUGACGCUGAGGUGCGAAAGCGUGGGGAGCAAACAGG
rnacentral:rRNA from 1 species